rnacentral:lncRNA from 1 species
CCCCGUGGACGCGCCGGGGCCGGGCCGGGGUCUCUCCGGAGCCGCCGCCGCCGCCACCGGGGCCGCCGCCGCCGCCGCCGCGCCAUGGGCAGCCCGGGAGCCGGAGCCUGAGCGAGGAGCCGAGGCUCGCUGUGCCGGACACUUUGAUGUUUAAAUAUCCCCGGUCUCAGAUGCCACAGCAGAUCCAGAUGUCGGUGCGGCCCCAGACCUGCAGAACAGCGCAUGGGAGAAU